UACGGAGGAUGCAAGCGUUAUCCGGAAUGAUUGGGCGUAAAGCGUCCGCAGGUGGCAAUGUAAGUCUGCUGUUAAAGAGUCUAGCUCAACUAGAUACAAGCAGUGGAAACUACAUAGCUAGAGUACGUUCGGGGCAGAGGGAAUUCCUGGUGUAGCGGUGAAGUGCAUUGAGAUCGGAAAGAACACCAACGGCGAAAGCACUCUGCUGGGCCGACACUGACACUGAGAGACGAAAGCUAGGGGAGCAAAUGGG
rnacentral:rRNA from 1 species